ACCCUCACGCACGCGCGCGAUUCAUCGCAGACGUGGGCUACAAAGCGUAUCCGCCUGCCUCGGAGCAGUCCCUGUCGCUGAGCUUCGAGCUGCUGCCGCAGAGGUUGAAGCGCCUCGGAUACAGCACGCACCUCGUGGGCAAGUGGCACCUGGGAUACUCGAGCGCCGAAUACACGCCGACUUGGCGAGGCUUCGACACGUUCUUCGGCUACUACAACUUCGGAGGCUUCUACUUCAACCACAGCGUUGCAUGGCAAGGGCACUGCGGCGUUGACCUCUGGCACAACGUUGGCCAUUCUAUACGACCCGUGACCGACCUGAAUGGCGUCUACUCCACCCACGCGUUCACUCAUCGGGCCACGCAGAUUAUUGCCGAGCACGACGUUCAAAAGCCGCUGUUCCUGUACGUGAGUCACGAGGCCGUGCACGCCACCUGCGACAACUGCACCGCGGAGGCGCCCCAGGAGAACGUGGACAAGUUCGCCUACAUCGCGCAACGCAACCGCACCCUGUUGGCCGGUGAGA
rnacentral:lncRNA from 1 species